rnacentral:rRNA from 1 species
AUAUGGUCAAGCAACUAAGGGCGUACGGUGGAUGCCUUGGCACUGGCAGGCGAUGAAGGACGUGGCAAGCUGCGAUAAGCCUCGGGGAGGAGCAAGCAUCCUUUGAUCCGGGGAUCUCCGAAUGGGAAAACCCAUACCGAUGAUCUCGGUAUAUCUGUAACUGAAUCCAUAGGUUGCAGAGGCUAAACCCGGGGAAUUGAAACAUCUUAGUACCCGGAGGAAAAGAAAGCAAGCGCGAUUCCCUAAGUAGUGGCGAGCGAACGGGGAACAGCCUAAACCGGUCUAUACGUUACAGGUCAGGACCGCUGUAAGAUCGGUGUAAUAGGGGCUGAGCGGAGAGUAUCCUGAUGCUCUCGGGAAGUUACAAAAUCUCAUCUUAACCGAACCCGCUGGAAAGAGGGCCAAAGAGGGUGAUAGCCCCGUAGGUGAAAAGAUUGAGAUCUUCCUGGUUCAGCUACCUGAGUACCGCGGGACACGUGAAAUCCUGUGGGAAUUUGCGAGGACCACCUCGUAAGGCUAAAUACUUGCCAGUGACCGAUAGUGGACCAGUACCGUGAGGGAAAGGUGAAAAGAACCCCGGGAGGGGAGUGAAAUAGAACCUGAAACCGUAUGCUUACAAGGUGUGGGAGUCUCGAUUUAUCGGGAUGACCGCGUGCCUUUUGUAGAAUGAGCCGGCGAGUUACUUAGUAUAGCAAGGUUAAGUGAUAGUAAUCAUGAAGCCGUAGCGAAAGCGAGUCCGAAUAGGGCGAUUAGUUAUACUGAGUAGACCCGAAACCGAGUGAUCUAUCCAUGGCCAGGCUGAAAGUUCGGUAAAACGAACUGGAGGGCCGAACCGAUGUAGGUUGAAAACUGCUCGGAUGAGCUGUGGAUAGGAGUGAAAGGCUAAACAAACUCGGCAAUAGCUGGUUCUCCUCGAAAUAGCUUUAGGGCUAGCCUGGUGCGUUCAGUUAUGGAGGUAGGGCUCUGAUCGGGGUAGGGGGUCUACAAACCUACCGAACCCUUUCAAACCACAAAUGCCAUAACUUUAGAGCACUGGAGUCAGACUACGGGGGAUAAGCUUCGUGGUCAAAAGGGAAACAGCCCAGACCAACAGCUAAGGUCCCUAAAUGCAUGCUAAGUGAUAAAGGAUGUGAAAUUGCUAAGACAGCCAGGAGGUUGGCUUAGAAGCAGCCACUCCUUUAAAGAGUGCGUAAUAGCUCACUGGUCGAGUGAUUUUGCGCCAAAAAUGAUUGGGACUAAGCAUGCUACCGAAGCUUUGGAUUCCGACGUAAGUCGGAGUGGUAGAGGAGCGUUCUAUACGGGUUGAAGGUUAAUCGUGAGGUUAACUGGACUGUAUGGAAGUGAGAAUGCCGGCAUGAGUAGCGAAAAUCCUGGUGAAAAACCAGGACGCCGUAAGCCUAAGGUUUUCUGGGCAAUGCUAAUCAACUCAGAGUUAGUCGGCCCCUAAGGCGAGGCCGAAAGGCGUAGUCGAUGGGAAGCAGGUUCAUAUUCCUGCACCACCUGGUGGAGGCUAUCGUGAUGGGGUGACGUAGAAGGAUAAGGGCGCAGGGUGUUGGUUAUCCCUGUUCUUAUGCGUAGGCUUGAAUCCCAGGAAAAUCCGGGAUUCUUUAAGGCUGAGGCUGUAGGGGAGCUCCCCGCAAGGGGAGUGAAGGUCCUGACUCCAAGCUACCAAGAAAAACCUCUAAACGCAAUACUAGGUGACCGUACCGCAAACCGACACAGGUAGGCGGGGAGAGAAUCCCAAGGCGCUCGUGAGAACCCUCGUUAAGGAACUCGGCAAAUUAGUCCCGUAACUUCGGAAGAAGGGACGCCUCAUUAGUGUGAAGCCCCCGCGGGUGGAGCAUGAAGAGGCCGCAGGGAAACGGGCCAAGCGACUGUUUACCAAAAACACAGGGCUCUGCAAAAUCGUAAGAUGAAGUAUAGGGCCUGACACCUGCCCGGUGCCGGAAGGUUAAAAGGAGGGGUUAGUCCCGAUUUAAUCGGGACGAAGCUCUGAAUUGAAGCCCCGGUAAACGGCGGCCGUAACUAUGACGGUCCUAAGGUAGCGAAAUUCCUUGUCGGGUAAGUUCCGACCUGCACGAAUGGUGUAACGACUUGGUCACUGUCUCAACGAGGGACACGGUGAAAUUGUAAUGUUUGUGAAGAUGCAGACUACCUGCAGAAGGACGGAAAGACCCCGUGGACCUUUACUGCAUCCUGACAUUGUAAUUUGGUGCGGUAUGUGUAGGAUAGGUGGGAGACUGGGAAGUCUCGACGCUAGUCGGGAUGGAGUCGCCCUUGAAAUACCACCCUUAUCGUAUCGGGUUACUAACUGAUUCCUGUUGAUCCAGGAUCAGAACAGUGUCUGGUGGGCAGUUUGACUGGGGCGGUCGCCUCCCAAAGAGUAACGGAGGCGCCCAAAGGUUCCCUCAGCACGGACGGAAAUCGUGCAUAGAGCGCAAACGCAUAAGGGAGCUUAACUGCGAGACCUACAAGUCGAGCAGAUACGAAAGUAGGGGUUAGUGAUCCGGUGGUCCCGCGUGGAAGGGCCAUCGCUCAACGGAUAAAAGGUACCCCGGGGAUAACAGGCUGAUAGUGCCCAAGAGUUCAUAUCGACGGCACUGUUUGGCACCUCGAUGUCGGCUCUUCGCAUCCUGGGGCUGGAGAAGGUCCCAAGGGUUCGGCUGUUCGCCGAUUAAAGCGGAACGCGAGCUGGGUUCAGAACGUCGUGAGACAGUUCGGUCCCUAUCCUCUGCAGGCGUUGGAAAUUUGAGGGGAUCUGUUCCUAGUACGAGAGGACCGGAAUGGACGAACCUCUGGUGUACCAGCUGUCGUGCCAACGGCACCGCUGGGUAGCUAUGUUCGGAAAGGAUAACCGCUGAAAGCAUCUAAGCGGGAAGCCAACCCCAAGAUUAGAUUUCCCCUGACCCUUGAGGUCACUGAAGACUCCUCGAAGAUUACGAGGUUGAUAGGCUGGAGGUGUAAGCGCAGCAAUGUGUUCAGCCAACCAGUACUAAUCAGUCGUGAGGCUUGACCAUAU